UGGGGAAUUUUGGACAAUGGGGGAAACCCUGAUCCAGCCAUCCCGCGUGUGCGAUGAAGGCCUUCGGGUUGUAAAGCACUUUUGGCAGGAAAGAAACGUCGCGGGUUAAUACCCCGCGAAACUGACGGUACCUGCAGAAUAAGCACCGGCUAACUACGUGCCAGCAGCCGCGGUAAUACGUGGUGGCAGCAGUAUUACGGAAUUACUGGGCGUAAAGCGUGCGCAGGCGGUUCGGAAAGAAAGAUGUGAAAUCCCAGAGCUUAACUUUGGAACUGCAUUUUUAACUACCGGGCUAGAGUGUGUCAGAGGGAGGUGGAAUUCCGCGUGUAGCAGUGAAAUGCGUAGAUAUGCGGAGGAACACCGAUGGCGAAGGCAGCCUCCUGGGAUAACACUGACGCUCAUGCACGAAAAGCGUGGGGAGCAAAACAGGAUUAGAUACCCCUGGUAGUCCACGCCCUAAAACGAUGUCAAACUAGCUGUUGGGGGCCUUCGGGCCUUGGUAGCGCAGCUAACGCGUGAAGUUGACCGCCUGGGGAGUACGGUCGCAAGAUUAAAACUCAAAUGAAUUGACGGGGUCAUAGCUGUUUCCUG
rnacentral:rRNA from 1 species